rnacentral:rRNA from 1 species
AACGAACGCUGGCGGCAGGCUUAACACAUGCAAGUCGAGCGCCCCGCAAGGGGAGCGGCAGGCGGGUGAGUAACGCGUGGGAACGUACCUUUUGGUUCGGAACAACUCCGGGAAACUGGAGCUAAUACCGGAUAAGCCCUAACGGGGAAAGAUUUAUCGCCGAAAGAUCGGCCCGCGUCUGAUUAGCUAGUUGGUGAGGUAACGGCUCACCAAGGCGACGAUCAGUAGCUGGUCUGAGAGGAUGAUCAGCCACACUGGGACUGAGACACGGCCCAGACUCCGACGGGAGGCAGCAGUGUGGAAUAUUGGACAAUGGGCGCAAGCCUGAUCCAGCCGUGCCGCGUGAGUGAUGAAGGCCUUAGGGUUGUAAAGCUCUUUUGUCCGGGAAGAUAAUGACUGUACCGGAAGAAUAAGCCCCGGCUAACUUCGUG